rnacentral:rRNA from 1 species
GACGAACCGAGCGAACGUUAUUCGGAAUCACUGGGCUUAAAGGGCGCGUAGGCGGGCCGUCAAGUCGGGGGUGAAAUCCCCCAGCUCAACUGGGGAAGUGCCUCCGAUACUGGCGGCCUCGAGGGGGAUAGGGGCAUGCGGAACUUCCGGUGGAGCGGUGAAAUGCGUAGAGAUUAGGAAGAACACCAGUGGCGAAGGCGACUUACUGGACUGUAACUGACGCUGAGGCAUGAAAGCGUGGGGAGCAAACAGG